GACGAACGCUGGCGGCGUGCUUAACACAUGCAAGUCGAACGGAAAGGCCCCUUUGGGGGUACUCGAGUGGCGAACGGGUGAGUAACACGUGAGUAACCUGCCCUUGACUUCGGGAUAACUUCAGGAAACUGGGGCUAAUACCGGAUAGGAAUCCUUGCUGCAUGGUGGGGGUUGGAAAGCUUCGGCGGUUUUGGAUGGACUCGCGGCUUAUCAGCUUGUUGGUGGGGUAGUGGCUUACCAAGGCUUUGACGGGUAGCCGGCCUGAGAGGGCGACCGGCCACAGUGGGACUGAGGUACGGCCCAGACUCCUACGGGAGGCAGCAGGGGGGAAUAUUGCACAAUGGGCGGAAGCCUGAUGCAGCAACGCCGCGUGCGGGAUGACGGGCUUCGGGUUGUAAACCGCUUUCAGCAGGGGCGAAGCUUGUGGUGACGGUACCUGCAGAAGAAGCACCGGCUAACUACGUG
rnacentral:rRNA from 1 species